rnacentral:lncRNA from 1 species
CCCCACAAGCCACUCUUUCGACCCGCAUCCCAACAAAAACGGACGAUCCCAUCGAACCAAUCGCCGAUUCCCCACCCUCCACGUAACACUAAACACCUUCUCUCUCUCUCUCUGCACUCAUCAAAAGACGACAACGGGUUCUGUGGGGAGGGGCGCAGUUUCUGAGGCCCCCCAUCUCGAUCGUCUCCUGGUCCUCCGUCCGAUGGGCGCCUCCGCGCAUCUCAAAACCCACACCCCCAAACAAUCCCACCAGACGCCCAGCCCCCUCACUUCCAAGCGCCGCAAACGCCGCGACACCGCCGCCGCAGCAGCAGCUGCAGCGGCUCCUCCCCCGUCCUCCCCUGACGUCGUCUCCUCCGACGCCGCCCCCUGGUGCUGCGCCCCACUCUCCUCUCCGCCCCCGCCCACUCCCACUCCUCCACACCGCGCUCUCCCGCUUCCUCCUCCN